UACGGAGGGGGGCUAGCGUUGUUCGGAAUUACUGGGCGUAAAGCGCACGUAGGCGGCUUUGUAAGUUAGAGGUGAAAGCCCGGGGCUCAACCCCGGAAUUGCCUUUAAGACUGCAUCGCUAGAAUUGUGGAGAGGUAAGUGGAAUUCCGAGUGUAGAGGUGAAAUUCGUAGAUAUUCGGAAGAACACCAGUGGCGAAGGCGACUACCUGGCCUGUUCUUGACGCUGAGGCGCGAAAGCGUGGGGAGCAAACAGG
rnacentral:rRNA from 1 species